CAAAAACUCUUUGAAUAAUUAUGAACGACAUGUUUAGCUAUUCUUCAUAGAAAUUAAUUACGACGCUACAAAAAGUGCAAAACUUCUUCGUCAAGUAACGAGUCGAAAGGAAGUAAAACUUUUUUCUUCGAAAAAUGAACGUCAGUGUGAUUUCAUACUUCAAAGACCCACAUUUUAUCUUGAGUAACUCAGAGACUCUGUAAUUUUUCUCGACAGAAAAUUAUCAUGAAAGCAGAUAAAAGAACAGCAGGAAUCCCGGGAUUCAGAAAAUUUAGUAUGUUACUAAGUUUUUCAGGCUGAUUUUUGGAGCUCUCUUUGGAACUGAGUCAAUUGCACAAUAAGAAGUUGAUUAUUCGAAAAUGAUCGCUGAGGAAUGGUUUAUCAUAGGUAGUCAAAAUAUUUUCUGCUUCUUCAUUCUCGCGGAGCGAGACACGGCUUCUAGUUCAAAUGUGGUGAAAUAAGCCGGUGACAGCACAAGGUCAAAUGAGUCUUUCAGUAUACAGCGCACAGUUUAUAAAAAAAGGCCCUGGUUUACAGCUGAGCAAAUCUUGGGGAAAAGGGACUAAAGAUGCAAAGAAGCUGGAUCUGGCGCACAUUGAGGCGUCAUUGAGACCUAUCUUCAGGCUCUCUAAAUACGUCGGACUGACUCCGUAUUCUCUGGGCACCCUCAGAACAACUCGAUAUGGUCGCAUUCAAACUAUUUUGGUCAUUCUUUUCAUCUCCAGCCUUAAUACGUACAUGUUUCUCAGGGAUUGGCGAGAGGUGGGCUGGGCCCGAAAAUCCCUGUCUGCGGGCUUCGUGGGUUGUUGCGAGCUGCUAUUGCUCAACGCAGCCGCGUGUCUCGACCUCGCGUACAACCUGCUCUUCUCUGGACGGAAGAAGGAUCUCCUCCGUAAACUUUACAGCGUCAACCUCCGCAUGCGAGUAUUUGGGCUUCAUCCGAAAAGGGACGUCCUGACCGAGAGGCUAGAGAACUAUGUGGCCGCCGCUUUUAUUGCUUGUCAGAUCGCACUUGACUCCCAUGUUCUGUUCAGCUGCAGAUGCGAGGAAUUUGUGCCUUUAAUUCUAAGCUAUCCAGCCUAUAUCAUACUUUUCACCUCUUUCUUCCAGUACGUAAAGGUGCUGACGGCGGUUCGGCUGAAAUUCGAAUGUGUCAACGCCACCUUGCUGGAACAGCUGGCGGCUAAUGAGGCGCGGUGGACGCGGCACCGGCAAUAUCUAUGGGCGCGCUGCUGGUCGGCGAGCGUCCAGCCUCUGAUCACAGCGCACUCCCUCCUUCGUCAGACCUGCCGGCAACUGAACCUCGCCUUCGGCCCGGAGACCCUGGCCAUUUUCACCGUCGUCUUCAUCAUCGUCACCAGCAACUCCUACUAUACCCUAUACCUGGCACUCCGCAAGGCUGCCGAGGAGGAUGCGUUCUUCAACCUGUAUUACGGCUGCUUCACCGUUGCACUUCUCGCUACCAUCAGCUACGUGGUCGGCAAGACGUCUGCUGUCUGCAUGCAAGUGAGUGAUAAGGGUUGCGUCGUACUAUACGAUGCAACAAGGGUAGCCCCCCCCCCCCCCAUGCGAUUCAAGACGCUUAGAUAAACGAUACAAAUUGACCGAAUUGCUGAAAAUCUAAUUUUUUUUCUUUACUGAAGUAUCUUGUUAGGGGUCAUGUCAGGUCAUUCCCUCAGUUCCCCCUCCCUUCUAAAGGUUUAGAUGAAAUGACGUUACUGGUCGCACAGGAAAAGAAAAUAGGGUGGAUAUGGCAUCAGCUGGAAAACGAGGGCGAGGGGUGCUUGCGUCGAGGUAGCACGGAAGUCGAGUGCAAAAAACUGUGAUUACUACGAAUUAUACGGUACACAUAUUAGUUCUAUCAGAGUGUUGUGUCUGUUGCCUAUCUACAAAUUGAAGGGGCAUUGUUGAUUGAAAGUUACGGUGGCAUGGAUACAAGCCGUAACUUUUCUUUCCAUUGCAAAUUGGCAGUAACUUUCGUCUAAUUAUCUGAUCCUUAAAAAUCGGCAUCUGUCGAUCAAUUAAGAACAUUGUUGUGGUUUCAUGUUAGUAUUUUGAAUUAUUAUUUUUAUUAGUAUUAGUAAUUUUGAAAGUAGCGAAAUGCUUCUUGGGUAGGGGCCGAAAUCAAUCGUGAAUUUUUGUAACUCCAGCGUUUUAUCGGUACAAUGCGUACAUAUUUUAUGAAAAAACUUGGUUUUGCAUGAAGGAAUAUUUUGAUACAGAUGAGUCACUCGGGUCUUACAAUUACACGCGAAACUCAAAAUGGCCACUAACAUGUUAUGCAAUUUCUCAAUUAAGGACAAACAAUACAUUCUUCUUACUAAACUCCAUCUGAAAAACGU
rnacentral:lncRNA from 1 species